GCUAGAACACGUUGUCAACCUACCCUGAAGACGUGGAUAACCCCGGGAAACUGGGACUAAGCCACGAUAGAUCAAGACACCUGGAACGGAUCUUGGUCCAAAGGAAGGAUGAGCAUGUUCAUCUAUUUGCCUCAGGAUGGGACUGCGUCCGAUCAGGUUGUUGGUGGGGUAAAAGCCCACCAAGCCUAUAACCGGUACGGGCUUUGAGAGAAGGAGCCCGGAGAUGGACACUGAGAUAAGGGUCCAGGCCCUACGGGGCGCAGCAGGCGCGAAACCUUCGCAAUGCACGAAAGUGCGACGAGGCUACUUCGAGUGCCGUCCGCUGAGGAUGGCUUUUGUCAGGUAUAAAUAGCCUGAAGAAUAAGGGGAGGGCAAGUCUGGUGUCAGCCGCCGCGGUAAUACCAGCUCCCCGAGUGGUUGGGACGAUUAUUGGGCCUAAAGCAUCCGUAGCCUGCUCCGUAGGUCUUCUGUUAAAUUCAACGGCUUAACCGUUGAGCUGCAGGAGAUACCACGGGGCUAGGAGGCGGGAGAGGUAGACGGUACUCCAUGGGUAGGGGUAAAAUCCUCUGAUCCAUGGAAGACCACCAGUGGCGAAAGCGGUCUACCAGAACGCGCUCGACGGUGAGGGAUGAAAGCUGGGGGAGCGAACCGGAUUAGAUACCCGGGUAGUCCCAGCUGU
rnacentral:rRNA from 1 species